ACAGUGAAACUGCGAAUGGCUCAUUAAAUCAGUUAUGGUUCAUUUGAUCGUACAGUUUACUUGGAUAACUGUGGUAAUUCUAGAGCUAAUACAUGCGAGAAGCGCCGACCUCGCGGGAGGCGUGCAUUUAUCAGACCAAAAACCGGCCGCGUCUUCGGGCGCGUUCGCCUUGGUGACUCUGGAUAACUUUGCGGAUCGCACGGUCUAGCACCGGCGACGGAUCAUUCAAGUGUCUGCCCUAUCAACUUUCGUCGGUACGGUAUUUGCCUACCGAGGUUCUUACGGGUGACGGGGAAUCAGGGUUCGAUUCCGGAGAGGGAGCCUGAGAAACGGCUACCACAUCCAAGGAAGGCAGCAGGCGCGCAAAUUACCCAUUCCCGACGCGGGGAGGUAGUGACGAAAAAUAACAAUGCAGGACUCGUUCGAGGCCCUGUAAUUGGAAUGAGUACACUUUAAAAGCUUUAACGAGUAUCCAUUGGAGGGCAAGUCUGGUGCCAGCAGCCGCGGUAAUUCCAGCUCCAAAAGUAUAUAUUUAAGUUGUUGCGGUUAAAAAGCUCGUAGUUGGAUUUUGGGCGCAGGCGGCCGGUCCGUCGCAAGGCGUGUACUGGACGUCCUGGCCUUCCCUCCGGUUCUCCGCCGGUGCUCUUGACUGAGUGUCGGCGGCGGCCGGAACGUUUACUUUGAAAAAAUUAGAGUGGAAUAAGCACGCUCUCGAGCCUGCAUAAUGGUGCAUGGAAUAAUGG
rnacentral:ncRNA from 1 species